rnacentral:rRNA from 1 species
AUACGUAGGGUGCAAGCGUUGUCCGGAAUUAUUGGGCGUAAAGAGCUCGUAGGCGGCUUGUCGCGUCUGCUGUGAAAACCCGAGGCUCAACCUCGGGCCUGCAGUGGGUACGGGCAGGCUAGAGUGCGGUAGGGGAGAUUGGAAUUCCCGGUGUAGCGGUGGAAUGCGCAGAUAUCAGGAGGAACACCGAUGGCGAAGGCAGAUCCCUGGGCGGUACCUGCCGCUGAGGAGCGAAAGCAUGGGGAGCGAAAAGGAUUAGAUACCCUGGUAGUCCAUGCCGUAAACGUUGGGAACUAGAUGUAGGGCCUGUUCCACGGGUUCUGUGUCGUAGCUAACGCAUUAAGUUCCCCGCCUGGGGAGUACGGCCGCAAGGCUAAAACUCAAAUGAAUUGACGGGG